rnacentral:rRNA from 1 species
UGAGUAGCGAAAAGAAGUGUGAGAGACACUUCCGCUGAAAGUCCAAGGUUUCCUGCGUAAAGCUAAUCUGCGCAGGGUUAGUCGGCCCCUAAGGCGAGGCUGAAAGGCGUAGCUGAUGGGAAACGUGUUAAUAUUCACGUACUUGUGUGUUCGCGCGAUGAAGGGACGCAGGAAGAUAGGCAAGCCGGGCGCUGGUUGUCCCGGUGCAAGCGUGUAGGGAUGAGAAAUUGGCAAAUCCGUUUCUCUCUAUCCUGAGACGCGAGUCCGUGACCGAAAGGUCUGAAGUUGUUGAGUCUAUGCUGCCUAGAAAAGCUCCUAAGUAUAUCCGCAGCAAUCCGUACCGCAAACCAACUCAGGUGGGUGGGAUGAAUAAUCCAAGGCGCUCGAGAGAACUCUGGCCAAGGAACUCGGCAAAAUAACCCCGUACCUUCGGAAGAAGGGGUGCUUUUUAGGGUGAAGCGAUUCACUCUGUCGAGCCCUGAAAAGCCGCAGAGAAAUGGUGGUGGCGACUGUUUACUAAAAACAUAGGUCUGUGCCAAGUCGUAUAGACGACGUAUACGGACUGACGCCUGCCCGGUGCUGGAAGGUUAAAAGGAGGAGUCAGCGCAAGCGAAGCUCCGAAUUGAAGCCCCAGUAAACGGCGGCCGUAACUAUAACGGUCCUAAGGUAGCGAAAUUCCUUGUCGGGUAAGUUCCGACCUGCACGAAUGGCGUAACGACUUGGGCGCUGUCUCAACCAUGGACCCGGUGAAAUUGUAUUAUUCGUGAAGAUGCGAAUUACCUGCGGAAGGACGGAAAGACCCCGUGAACCUUCACUGCAGCUUGGCAUUGGCCGUUGGUACAGCGUGUAGAGGAUAGGCGGGAGGCUUCGAAGCCGGGGCGCCAGCCCCGGUGGAGCCGACCUUGGAAUACCGCCCUCGCUGUGCCGGCGGCCUAACGCGCGGCCGUCAUCCGGCGCGCGGACCGUGCCAGGUGGGUAGUUUGACUGGGGCGGUCGCCUCCUAAACUGUAACGGAGGCGUGCGAAGGUUCGCUCAGGGCGGUUGGCAAUCGCCCGCAGAGCACAAGAGUACAAGCGAGCCUGACUGCGAGACCAACAAGUCGAGCAGAGACGAAAGUCGGUUCUAGUGAUCCGGCGGCCCAGCGUGGAAUGGCCGUCGCUCAACGGAUAAAAGGUACUCCGGGGAUAACAGGCUGAUCUUGCCCAAGAGUCCACAUCGACGGCAAGGUUUGGCACCUCGAUGUCGGCUCAUCGCAUCCUGGGGCUGUAGCAGGUCCCAAGGGUUGGGCUGUUCGCCCAUUAAAGCGGUACGCGAGCUGGGUUCAGAACGUCGUGAGACAGUUCGGUCCCUAUCCUCCGCGGGCGCAAGGGAGUUGAGGAGAUCUGCCCCUAGUACGAGAGGACCGGGGUGGACGGACCUCUGGUGACGCGGUUGUCGACCAACGGCACCGCCGCCUAGCUACGUCCGGCACGGAUAACCGCUGAAGGCAUCUAAGUGGGAAGCCGCCUCCGAGAUGAGCUCCCUUUCCGGUAAGGGCCCAGAUAGACUAUCUGGUCGAUAGGGCGCAGCUGCAAGCAGGGCGACCUGCUCAGGCGAGCGCUACUAAUAGCCCGAGCUCUUCUUCAU